CAGGAUCCUCUGCUGAAUCCCCCGGGGCUGUGGGAUGUUAAAGGGCUGAACGAGCAAUAGAAAAUUCUAGAUUAAGACAUUCCUGUGGGGGAAGUUAGGACUCUGAGAAGACAGAAACACAAACCAAAUCUUCCAAGGGGUGGGGGGUGGGGGGGAGGAAAGCCUGCUUUCCACACUCCAGUCAGUGAAGUGGGCGGCUCUGGAUGGGCAGAUGGCAGCAGGGAGACAAGACGCGCAGCAAGGCCACCAUGCUGGGCUAGAUCAUCAGACGACAAAUUCAAAGAUCAAAUCUCUGCCUGAGAGACGGGACAUUUGGAGCAGGAACACUAUGCCUUCCCAAUGAGAUAUCACUCGGUGCGCCCAGGAAAAAUAAGGAGAAGGCACUUUGUUGAAGAUGCACUCCACUGGCCUGGCACUCUA
rnacentral:lncRNA from 1 species